AUUGAACGCUGGCGGCAGGCUUAACACAUGCAAGUCGAGCGGGGUGAGGUGCUUCGGUACUGAUCCUAGCGGCGGACGGGUGAGUAAUGCUUAGGAAUCUGCCAUUUAGUGGGGGACAACAUUCCGGAAGGAGUGCUAAUACCGCAUACGUCCUACGGGAGAAAGCAGGGGAUCUUCGGACCUUGCGCUAAAUGAUGAGCCUAAGUCGGAUUAGCUAGUUGGUGGGGUAAAGGCCUACCAAGGCGACGAUCUGUAGCGGGUCUGAGAGGAUGAUCCGCCACACUGGGACUGAGACACGGCCCAGACUCCUACGGGAGGCAGCAGUGGGGAAUAUUGGACAAUGGGCGGAAGCCUGAUCCAGCCAUGCCGCGUGUGUGAAGAAGGCCUUUUGGUUGUAAAGCACUUUAAGCGAGGAGGAGGCUACCUGGAUUAAUACUCUGGGAUAGUGGACGUUACUCGCAGAAUAAGCACCGGCUAACUCUGUGCCAGCAGCCGCGGUAACAC
rnacentral:rRNA from 1 species